GAUUAAGUUAUUAAGGGCGCACGGUGGAUGCCUUGGCACUAGAAGCCGAUGAAGGACGUUACUAACGACGAUAUGCUUUGGGGAGCUGUAAGUAAGCUUUGAUCCAGAGAUUUCCGAAUGGGGAAACCCAGCAUGAGUUAUGUCAUGUUAUCGAUAUGUGAAUACAUAGCAUAUCAGAAGGCACACCCGGAGAACUGAAACAUCUUAGUACCCGGAGGAAGAGAAAGAAAAUUCGAUUCCCUUAGUAGCGGCGAGCGAAACGGGAAGAGCCCAAACCAACAAGCUUGUUGGGGUUGUAGGACACUCUAUACGGAGUUACAAAGGACGACAUUAGACGAAUCAUCUGGAAAGAUGAAUCAAAGAAGGUAAUAAUCCUGUAGUCGAAAAUGUUGUCUCUCUUGAGUGGAUCCUGAGUACGACGGAGCACGUGAAAUUCCGUCGGAAUCUGGGAGGACCAUCUCCUAAGGCUAAAUACUCUCUAGUGACCGAUAGUGAACCAGUACCGUGAGGGAAAGGUGAAAAGCACCCCGGAAGGGGAGUGAAAUAGAACCUGAAACCGUGUGCUUACAAGUAGUCAGAGCCCGUUAAUGGGUGAUGGCGUGCCUUUUGUAGAAUGAACCGGCGAGUUACGAUUUGAUGCAAGGUUAAGCAGUAAAUGUGGAGCCGUAGCGAAAGCGAGUCUGAAUAGGGCGUUUAGUAUUUGGUCGUAGACCCGAAACCAGGUGAUCUACCCUUGGUCAGGUUGAAGUUCAGGUAACACUGAAUGGAGGACCGAACCGACUUACGUUGAAAAGUGAGCGGAUGAACUGAGGGUAGCGGAGAAAUUCCAAUCGAACCUGGAGAUAGCUGGUUCUCUCCGAAAUAGCUUUAGGGCUAGCCUCAAGUGAUGAUUAUUGGAGGUAGAGCACUGUUUGGACGAGGGGCCCCUCUCGGGUUACCGAAUUCAGACAAACUCCGAAUGCCAAUUAAUUUAACUUGGGAGUCAGAACAUGGGUGAUAAGGUCCGUGUUCGAAAGGGAAACAGCCCAGACCACCAGCUAAGGUCCCAAAAUAUAUGUUAAGUGGAAAAGGAUGUGGCGUUGCCCAGACAACUAGGAUGUUGGCUUAGAAGCAGCCAUCAUUUAAAGAGUGCGUAAUAGCUCACUAGUCGAGUGACACUGCGCCGAAAAUGUACCGGGGCUAAACAUAUUACCGAAGCUGUGGAUUGUCCUUUGGACAAUGGUAGGAGAGCGUUCUAAGGGCGUUGAAGCAUGAUCGUAAGACAUGUGGAGCGCUUAGAAGUGAGAAUGCCGGUGUGAGUAGCGAAAGACGGGUGAGAAUCCCGUCCACCGAUUGACUAAGGUUUCCAGAGGAAGGCUCGUCCGCUCUGGGUUAGUCGGGUCCUAAGCUGAGGCCGACAGGCGUAGGCGAUGGAUAACAGGUUGAUAUUCCUGUACCACCUAUAAUCGUUUUAAUCGAUGGGGGGACGCAGUAGGAUAGGCGAAGCGUGCGAUUGGAUUGCACGUCUAAGCAGUAAGGCUGAGUAUUAGGCAAAUCCGGUACUCGUUAAGGCUGAGCUGUGAUGGGGAGAAGACAUUGUGUCUUCGAGUCGUUGAUUUCACACUGCCGAGAAAAGCCUCUAGAUAGAAAAUAGGUGCCCGUACCGCAAACCGACACAGGUAGUCAAGAUGAGAAUUCUAAGGUGAGCGAGCGAACUCUCGUUAAGGAACUCGGCAAAAUGACCCCGUAACUUCGGGAGAAGGGGUGCUCUUUAGGGUUAACGCCCAGAAGAGCCGCAGUGAAUAGGCCCAAGCGACUGUUUAUCAAAAACACAGGUCUCUGCUAAACCGUAAGGUGAUGUAUAGGGGCUGACGCCUGCCCGGUGCUGGAAGGUUAAGAGGAGUGGUUAGCUUAUGCGAAGCUACGAAUCGAAGCCCCAGUAAACGGCGGCCGUAACUAUAACGGUCCUAAGGUAGCGAAAUUCCUUGUCGGGUAAGUUCCGACCCGCACGAAAGGCGUAACGAUUUGGGCACUGUCUCAACGAGAGACUCGGUGAAAUCAUAGUACCUGUGAAGAUGCAGGUUACCCGCGACAGGACGGAAAGACCCCGUGGAGCUUUACUGUAGCCUGAUAUUGAAAUUCGGCACAGCUUGUACAGGAUAGGUAGGAGCCUUUGAAACGUGAGCGCUAGCUUACGUGGAGGCGCUGGUGGGAUACUACCCUAGCUGUGUUGGCUUUCUAACCCGCACCACUUAUCGUGGUGGGAGACAGUGUCAGGCGGGCAGUUUGACUGGGGCGGUCGCCUCCUAAAAGGUAACGGAGGCGCUCAAAGGUUCCCUCAGAAUGGUUGGAAAUCAUUCAUAGAGUGUAAAGGCAUAAGGGAGCUUGACUGCGAGACCUACAAGUCGAGCAGGGUCGAAAGACGGACUUAGUGAUCCGGUGGUUCCGCAUGGAAGGGCCAUCGCUCAACGGAUAAAAGCUACCCCGGGGAUAACAGGCUUAUCUCCCCCAAGAGUUCACAUCGACGGGGAGGUUUGGCACCUCGAUGUCGGCUCAUCGCAUCCUGGGGCUGUAGUCGGUCCCAAGGGUUGGGCUGUUCGCCCAUUAAAGCGGUACGCGAGCUGGGUUCAGAACGUCGUGAGACAGUUCGGUCCCUAUCCGUCGUGGGCGUAGGAAAUUUGAGAGGAGCUGUCCUUAGUACGAGAGGACCGGGAUGGACAUACCUCUGGUGUACCAGUUGUCGUGCCAACGGCAUAGCUGGGUAGCUAUGUGUGGACGGGAUAAGUGCUGAAAGCAUCUAAGCAUGAAGCCCCCUCAAGAUGAGAUUUCCCAACUUCGGUUAUAAGAUC
rnacentral:rRNA from 1 species